UUCUGGUUGUUCUGUAAUUGGUUUUGGGAUUUGGAGCAAGAGAAGCCACUAAUACAAACACUGAAACAUAAUAAUUCUGGUUUCUUGGGAUAUAGGCAUAAUCACGUAACAAGAUUUUCGUAUUACUGGGGACUAGGAAAACAUUUGGCUUAUUGCGUGACAAUCAGAUACUUGGUGAAAGAAGACACAUGAUUAUCUACUAAUAUACUAUGAUCUGUCGUGAUCUGCUGUAUAUCAUAGGAUUCAAAGAAGAAGGAGGAAGAGAUGGAGAAAGAGAAGAUGAACCCAGUCCUCAAGCAGUUGCCACCAAGUAGGAGGCUUGUUGAGACAUUGCAUGAGCAGGUAAACCAGUGCAGAAAGCAAUGUGAUGAGUCGCCCUUGGUUGGCUCCACGUUCCACAAAAGAACUUUUUCAUAAGCAGAGGAAGAAGCUUCCUUUCUAAGGGCAGCAAGAUCUCUCAUGGUGGCCGGUCUCCCUCAUCCUUCUGGCUCAGCAAGGUUUGGCUGCCAUGUGGAGGGAGGAGCAGUCCAGUUCUGUGGCGUAGUAAGAGGCAAGCAGUCUUCAGAUGGAUGCUGGCCUUCUGCACAUUGCUGGACUUCAGUGGAAGGAGGCUUGUAAUCAGGAGUAACUACUGUACUCUCCAUGCCUUCCUGAGCUCCCAGGCAACCGUCUGAAGCUCAGACUCAAUUACCACCAUUUCUGGGUCAGUGCCACCUGUCCUCCAGGCCCCAGCACCCAUGAGCACACAAGCGUCCUGGACCAUCAGCCAAGGUGUAUUUCAAAGGCGUUUGGAAGCUUUCUCCUCUCUGAUGGCUGUUUCAAGCAUCCUGCUGGAUAUUGGGUUCUCCAGGUCCUCACACGGCCUUGCUAUAGGCUCUUUGUGACAGCUUUUGUUCCAAGUAUUAUGCUUACUUAGUCAUCUAUGCAACUUUAUGUGAGAUUAAACAGUGUGAAGAUUGGAGUAACCACUCAAUAGAAAAGUGUUCAAGGCCCAUUUGUUCUUGCUUAUGUUGCUCCUGUUCUUGGAGCAGGUUUUGUAUUCCUGCAAAUUUAAAUCAACAAAGUGCCCUUCACUCACACACACUAUGUUCAUGGACUGAAAACUGCAACUUCAAGGCUGCCAGUUCCACCCUUCUGCAAUUUUCUGUGCAUCUCUGGGCAGGUGACCGCAAUCCUCCAUCCACACAGAGGCCUUGCUUCUUACAGGCAGCCAAGGAGGGCAAGGGAGCUUUACAACGACGGUUAGUAAAGAUGAUCCUAAGUGCAAUGCCAAUUGCACCAACAUAGCUUUGGAAAUAAAACUCUGAACACAAAAUAGCCCCACUCGGAUCCCAGGGAGAGUAGGAAGACACAGAUUCCAGUUGAGGAGGGAUAAUACGGAAGGGCACGUUGCUCUGUACCGCUCAGCGCUUCCUGCUGAGCCCCGGGGUCAGCGGGUCUGCUGGGUGGAGACACCGGCUCUGAGCGUGUCUGUGUGGGUCUGGGAUCCAGUUCCCAGAUGGAGACAGUGCAGAUGGCGCUGGUAGCACAUGCGGGUGGGAGGACUCAGCCCCUUGGAGGAGUGAAAUCCUAUUCCCAGAUGGAGAGGUCAAGACUGUGGAUAUUUUAGGUGCCUUUCAGUAGGAGGACAGCCUUAUUCCCAGACCUGAUUGGCAGUCCUUUCUGGCAUAAUGGAACUUACACGUUGGCAAGGAUGCUAGCUUGCUUGUCACCUGAUUGCCUUACAGAAAUAAAACAGAGUGCUCUGCUUGUCUGCGACGUAUGACUCAGUGGUGCUGUCUGCAGGAAAUGCGUGAGAAAAGGAUUCAUUGGAUAAUUUUAGAGAAGAAAGCUGGAUACAACUCUUCUUUUUGUUAGAAGACAGGAAAGAGAAAUAUUUAAGAUAUCUUCAGCUACUGCAUAGCACGGAGAAGUAAAUACUCAAUAUCUUGUAAUAACCUGUUAUGGAAAAGAA